rnacentral:misc_RNA from 1 species
GUGAAUCAUCAAAUCUUUGAACGCAAAUUGCACUCUCUGGUAUUCCGGAGAGUAUGCCUGUUUGAGGGUCAGUUAAUUAAAAAUCGGGGUUUUGUUGCCCCUUUGCGUAGUGACGCAUCGGGUUUGGGUCGUUUUACUUUCGGUUAAGUGACUUAAAAUUUUCCUUGAUUUUGGACCGUAUUUAAUUAAUUUACGUACGUUGGUAUUAUCGGUUAUUAGU